rnacentral:rRNA from 1 species
CGAUAGUGAACUAGUACCGUGAGGGAAAGGUGAAAAGCACCCCGAUGAGGGGAGUGAAACAGUACCUGAAACCGAACGCCUACAAGCAGUAGGAGGGCCCUUGAGGCCUGACUGCGUACCUCUUGCAUAAUGGGUCAGUGACUUAGUGUAACAAGCAAGCUUAAGCCGUUAGGUGUAGGCGCAGCGAAAGCGAGUCUGAAUAGGGCGAAUGAGUUUGUUGCAUUAGACCCGAAACCCGGUGAUCUAGGCAUGACCAGGUUGAAGGUGCGGUAACACGCACUGGAGGACCGAACCGUUCAAUGUUGAAAAAUUGUCGGAUGAGUUGUGUUUAGGGGUGAAAGGCCAAUCAAACCGGGAAAUAGCUGGUUCUCCGCGAAAUCUAUUGAGGUAGAGCGUCGGAUGAAUACCAUGGGGGGUAGAGCACUGGAUGGAUGCGGGGGUCGCGAGAUCUACCAAUUCUAACCAAACUCCGAAUACCCAUGAGUAAUAUCCGGCAGACAGACGGCGGGUGCUAAGGUCCGUCGUCAAAAGGGAAACAGCCCUGACCUACAGCUAAGGUCCCCAAGUCAUCACUAAGUGGUAAAGCAUGUGGGAAUCCCAAAACAACCAGGAGGUUGGCUUAGAAGCAGCCAUCCUUUAAAGAAAGCGUAACAGCUCACUGGUCUAAAUAAGGGUUCCUGCGGCGAAAAUGUAACGGGGCUAAAGUGAUGCACCGAAGCUUAGGGUGUGUAGUUUACUACACGCGGUAGCGGAGCGUUCCGUAGGCUGAUGAAGCGAUCUGGUAAUGGGUCGUGGAGGUAUCGGAAGUGCGAAUGCUGACAUGAGUAGCGAUAAAGAGGGUGAGAUGCCCUCUCGCCGAAAUCCCAAGGGUUCCUGCUUAAAGCUAAUCUGAGCAGGGUAAGCCGGCCCCUAAGACGAGCCCGAAGGGGGUAGUCGAUGGGAACCACGUUAAUAUUCGUGGGCCUGGAGGUGUGUG